rnacentral:rRNA from 1 species
UACGUAGGGUGCGAGCGUUGUCCGGAAUUAUUGGGCGUAAAGAGCUCGUAGGCGGCUUGUCGCGUCGGAUGUGAAAGCCCGGGGCUUAACUCCGGGUCUGCAUUCGAUACGGGCAGGCUAGAGUUCGGUAGGGGAGAACGGAAUUCCUGGUGUAGCGGUGAAAUGCGCAGAUAUCAGGAGGAACACCGGUGGCGAAGGCGGAUCUCUGGGCCGAUACUGACGCUGAGGAGCGAAAGCGUGGGGAGCGAACAGG